rnacentral:rRNA from 1 species
AUACGGAGGGUGCAAGCGUUAAUCGGAAUUACUGGGCGUAAAGAGUACGUAGGCGGUUUGUUAAGUUAGAUGUGAAAGCCCCGGGCUUAACCUGGGAACUGCAUUUAAAACUGGCAAACUAGAGUUGGGUAGAGGGAAGUGGAAUUUCAGGUGUAGCGGUGAAAUGCGUAGAGAUCUGAAGGAACACCAGUGGCGGAGGCGACUUCCUGGACUCAAACUGACGCUGAGGUACGAAAGCGUGGGUAGCAAACAGGAUUAGAAACCCUAGUAGUCC